rnacentral:rRNA from 1 species
AGAGUUUGAUCCUGGCUCAGGAUGAACGCUAGCUACAGGCUUAACACAUGCAAGUCGAGGGGCAGCAUGGAGUCAGCUUGCUGACUCUGAUGGCGACCGGCGCACGGGUGAGUAACGCGUAUCCAACCUUCCCUAUAGUAGGGGAUAGCCCGGCGAAAGUCGGAUUAAUGCCCGAUGUUGUCACGUUGCCGCAUGGCAUUGUGACCAAAGGAAUCCGGUAUGGGAUGGGGAUGCGUCUGAUUAGCUUGUUGGCGGGGUAACGGCCCACCAAGGCUUCGAUCAGUAGGGGUUCUGAGAGGAAGGUCCCCCACACUGGAACUGAGACACGGUCCAGACUCCUACGGGAGGCAGCAGUGAGGAAUAUUGGUCAAUGGGCGGAAGCCUGAACCAGCCAAGUAGCGUGCAGGAUGACGGCCCUAGGGGUUGUAAACUGCUUUUGCGCGGGGAUAAACUUCGCCACGUGUGGCGUUUUGCAGGUACCGCGCGAAUAAGGACCGGCUAAUUCCGUGCCAGCAGCCGCGGUAAUACGGAAGGUCCGGGCGUUAUCCGGAUUUAUUGGGUUUAAAGGGAGCGCAGGCGGGCUGUCAAGCGUGCCGUGAAAUUUCGGGGCUCAACCCCGUUAAGCGGCGCGAACUGGCGGCCUUGGUUGCGGGAGAGGGAGGCGGAACUCGUGGUGUAGCGGUGAAAUGCAUAGAUAUCACGAAGAACUCCGAUUGCGAAGGCAGCCAUCUGGGGUGCGAUUGACGCUGAGGCUCGAAAGUGCGGGUAUCAAACAGGAUUAGAUACCCUGGUAGUCCGCACCGUAAACGAUGAAUGCUCGUUCUGGGCGACAGACAGUCCGGGACCGAGGGAAACCAUUAAGCAUUCCACCUGGGGAGUACGCCGGCAACGGUGAAACUCAAAGGAAUUGACGGGGGCCCGCACAAGCGGAGGAACAUGUGGUUUAAUUCGAUGAUACGCGAGGAACCUUACCCGGGCUUGAAAUGUACCUGACGGCGGAGAGAGACCUUCGCUUCCUUCGGGCAGGUAUGUAGGUGCUGCAUGGUUGUCGUCAGCUCGUGCCGUGAGGUGUCGGCUUAAGUGCCAUAACGAGCGCAACCCUUGCCGUCAGUUGCCAUCACGUAGAGGUGGGCACUCUGAGGGGACUGCCAUCGCAAGAUGUGAGGAAGGUGGGGAUGACGUCAAAUCAGCACGGCCCUUACGUCCGGGGCUACACACGUGUUACAAUGGGGGGCACAGCGCGCCGCUACCCGGCGACGGGAUGCGAAUCGUGAAAUCCCCUCUCAGUUCGGACCGGAGUCUGCAACCCGACUCCGCGAAGCUGGGUUCGCUAGUAAUCGCGCAUCAGCCAUGGCGCGGUGAAUACGUUCCCGGGCCUUGCACUCACCGCCCGUCA